rnacentral:rRNA from 1 species
CGUCUAUAUACGUAUAGCAUAUCAAUAAGCGGAGGAAAAGAAACUAACAAGGAUUCCCUUAGUAACGGCGAGUGAAGCGGGAAGAGCUCAAAUUUGAAAUCUUCAAGGUUUUACCUUGACGAAUUGUAGUUUAAAGAAGUGUUUUCUGUUGAAGUUUUGGUAAAAGUUCUUUGGAAUAGGACAUCAUAGAGGGUGAGAAUCCCGUAUUUGACUGUUACUUUCCAGCUGUGUGAUACACUUUCAAAGAGUCGGAUUGUUUGGGAAUGCAGUCCAAAAUGGGUGGUAAAUUUCAUCUAAAGCUAAAUAUUGGCGAGAGACCGAUAGCGAACAAGUACCGUGAGGGAAGAUGAAAAGAACUUUGAAAAGAGAGUUAAACAGUACGUGAAAUUGUCAAAAGGGAAGCGUUUGACACCAGUGUUGUUUUUCCGAAAAUCAAUUAUAGAUGUUUUGUUUCUGAGGAGUGAUGACUUCAUCGGCUUCCUUCUCUCUUUACGAAACUUUUGUAAUGCACUUUUCGGUUAACAAGUCAACAUCAAUUUCUUUUGUUGUAAAAGAGUAUUCGGAAGGUGGCUUUCUUUUCGGAGAAAGUGUUUAUAGCCCUAUACUUCUACAAUCGGAGAGAUUGAGGUCUGCAGCGUAGAUCCUUCGGGGUUAGAUACAUUUGUGCCAAGUUGUAGCUUUUCAUAGACAACUUGUUGACUAUGUUUAGUCUUGUAGCUUACUCGCUGACGCUAUUUUACCUACGCUUAGGAUGUUGACUGAUAUGUAGUCGUA